rnacentral:rRNA from 1 species
UGGCUCAGAUUGAACGCUGGCGGCAGGCCUAACACAUGCAAGUCGAGCGGUAGCACAGAGAGCUUGCUCUCGGGUGACGAGCGGCGGACGGGUGAGUAAUGUCUGGGAAACUGCCUGAUGGAGGGGGAUAACUACUGGAAACGGUAGCUAAUACCGCAUAAUGUCGCAAGACCAAAGUGGGGGACCUUCGGGCCUCAUGCCAUCAGAUGUGCCCAGAUGGGAUUAGCUAGUAGGUGGGGUAACGGCUCACCUAGGCGACGAUCCCUAGCUGGUCUGAGAGGAUGACCAGCCACACUGGAACUGAGACACGGUCCAGACUCCUACGGGAGGCAGCAGUGGGGAAUAUUGCACAAUGGGCGCAAGCCUGAUGCAGCCAUGCCGCGUGUGUGAAGAAGGCCUUCGGGUUGUAAAGCACUUUCAGCGGGGAGGAAGGCGUUAAGGUUAAUAACCUUG